UACGGAGGAUCCGAGCGUUAUCCGGAUUUAUUGGGUUUAAAGGGAGCGUAGGUGGAUUGUUAAGUCAGUUGUGAAAGUUUGCGGCUCAACCGUAAAUUGCAGUUGAAACUGGCAGUCUUGAGUACAGUAGAGGUGGGCGGAAUUCGUGGUGUAGCGGUGAAAUGCUUAGAUAUCACGAAGAACUCCGAUUGCGAAGGCAGCUCACUGGACUGCAACUGACACUGAGGCUCGAAAGUGUGGGUAUCAAACAGG
rnacentral:rRNA from 1 species